CUUAUUCAAAUUAUGGAUCCAAUCUAAGAAGGUGAGAUCACACCAGUAAAUGGAUUUUUCUUUUCCUUUUUUUUUUCUUUUUUUCUUUCUCUCUAUUUUUUUCUCUUCUUCUCUCCCUCUUUAACAUUUUUUUUCCUUUUCUCUUUCUCUUUUCCUUUCUCUCUCUCUCUUCCUCUCUUUUUUCUUCUUUUGUUUAUUCCUCUCAUCUCUUUUGGCAAAAAUAGGGGUCCAGUGGCAUUUAGGAAGGGUGGAGAGAAGGAGAAGGGGAAUGGGGUCCAAUGGGUGUGUAGCCAGAGUGGCCGAUAAUGGUGGCAUAGCCGGCUAUGCCAAUUCAUGGUGGUAAUGGAGGCCAAUCAACCUCGGAUCAAGGGUAC
rnacentral:lncRNA from 1 species